UUAGCCCUAAACACAGAUAAUUACAUAAACAAAAUUAUUCGCCAGAGUACUACUAGCAACAGCUUAAAACUCAAAGGACUUGGCGGUGCUUUAUAUCCUUCUAGAGGAGCCUGUUCUAUAAUCGAUAAACCCCGAUAAACCUCACCAAUUCUUGCUAAUACAGUCUAUAUACCGCCAUCUUCAGCAAACCCUAAAAAGGAAAAAAAGUAAGCGUAAUUAUGAUACAUAAAAACGUUAGGUCAAGGUGUAACCUAUGAAAUGGGAAGAAAUGGGCUACAUUCUCUACACCAAGAGAAUCAAGCACGAAAGUUAUUAUNAAACCAAUAACCAAAGG
rnacentral:rRNA from 1 species